CGGACGGGUGAGUAACACGUGGAUAACCUACCUAUGAGACUGGGAUAACUUCGGGAAACCGGAGCUAAUACCGGAUAAUAUAUUGAACCGCAUGGUUCAAUAGUGAAAGACGGUUUUGCUGUCACUUAUAGAUGGAUCCGCGCCGCAUUAGCUAGUUGGUAAGGUAACGGCUUACCAAGGCAACGACGCGUAGCCGACCUGAGAGGGUGAUCGGCCACACUGGAACUGAGACACGGUCCAG
rnacentral:rRNA from 1 species